rnacentral:misc_RNA from 1 species
UACCAAUUUUUGCUGAUACUUCUAUAGCUGCUAUCACUAACAUUGUCGUUGUCAGUGAUCUUGGACAAACUAGGAGUGAAGUUGAGUGGAGUUAAUGAGGAUUAUAGGUUUGGUAAAAUAUUUAUCAUCUUGCUACAUGAAUCUGAUGUUUUGUCAUCUCUCCUUCAAGGUUCUUGAAGGCUACUGAUUCUCACUAUCCCACCCCUCACGUAAUCAUGAAAAGGGGUAGAAAGAAAAAUAUUUGCAUAUGCCUAAUAUUAUUUAAUUUCUGCCUUCAUUUUGCAGGAGG